rnacentral:rRNA from 1 species
CUGCUUCCAGGAAAAGCCUCUAAGCAUCAGGUAACAUCAAAUCGUACCCCAAACCGACACAGGUGGUCAGGUAGAGAAUACCAAGGCGCUUGAGAGAACUCGGGUGAAGGAACUAGGCAAAAUGGUGCCGUAACUUCGGGAGAAGGCACGCUGACACGUAGGUGAAGUGAUUUACUCAUGGAGCUGAAGUCAGUCGAAGAUACCAGCUGGCUGCAACUGUUUAUUAAAAACACAGCACUGUGCAAACACGAAAGUGGACGUAUACGGUGUGACGCCUGCCCGGUGCCGGAAGGUUAAUUGAUGGGGUCAGCGCAAGCGAAGCUCCUGAUCGAAGCCCCGGUAAACGGCGGCCGUAACUAUAACGGUCCUAAGGUAGCGAAAUUCCUUGUCGGGUAAGUUCCGACCUGCACGAAUGGCGUAAUGAUGGCCAGGCUGUCUCCACCCGAGACUCAGUGAAAUUGAACUCGCUGUGAAGAUGCAGUGUACCCGCGGCAAGACGGAAAGACCCCGUGAACCUUUACUAUAGCUUGACACUGAACAUUGAGCCUUGAUGUGUAGGAUAGGUGGGAGGCUUUGAAGCGUGGACGCCAGUCUGCGUGGAGCCGACCUUGAAAUACCACCCUUUAAUGUUUGAUGUUCUAACGUGGACCCGUAAUCCGGGUUGCGGACAGUGUCUGGUGGGUAGUUUGACUGGGGCGGUCUCCUCCUAAAGAGUAACGGAGGAGCACGAAGGUUGGCUAAUCCUGGUCGGACAUCAGGAGGUUAGUGCAAUGGCAUAAGCCAGCUUGACUGCGAGCGUGACGGCGCGAGCAGGUGCGAAAGCAGGUCAUAGUGAUCCGGUGGUUCUGAAUGGAAGGGCCAUCGCUCAACGGAUAAAAGGUACUCCGGGGAUAACAGGCUGAUACCGCCCAAGAGUUCAUAUCGACGGCGGUGUUUGGCACCUCGAUGUCGGCUCAUCACAUCCUGGGGCUGAAGUAGGUCCCAAGGGUAUGGCUGUUCGCCAUUUAAAGUGGUACGCGAGCUGGGUUUAGAACGUCGUGAGACAGUUCGGUCCCUAUCUGCCGUGGGCGCUGGAGAACUGAGGGGGGCUGCUCCUAGUACGAGAGGACCGGAGUGGACGCAUCACUGGUGUUCGGGUUGUCAUGCCAAUGGCACUGCCCGGUAGCUAAAUGCGGAAGAGAUAAGUGCUGAAAGCAUCUAAGCACGAAACUUGCCCCGAGAUGAGUUCUCCCUGAGACUUAGAGUCUCCUGAAGGAACGUUGAAGACGACGACGUUGAUAGGCCGGGUGUGUAAGCGCAGCGAUGCGUUGAGCUAACCGGUACUAAUGAACCGUGAGGCUUAACCUUACAACGCCGAAGCUGUU